rnacentral:rRNA from 1 species
CGGGCGCGGCGCCGGUCUAAGUUCCUUGGAACGGGGCGUCAUAGAGGGUGAGAAUCCCGUAUGUGACCGGCGACCAAGCCCAUGUGAAACUCCUUCGACGAGUCGAGUUGUUUGGGAAUGCAGCUCAAAAUGGGUGGUAAAUUUCAUCUAAAGCUAAAUACUGGCCAGAGACCGAUAGCGCACAAGUAGAGUGAUCGAAAGAUGAAAAGCACUUUGGAAAGAGAGUCAAAAAGUACGUGAAAUUGUUGAAAGGGAAGCGCUUGCAACCAGACCUGCCCGCGGGCGACCAACCGUCCCUUCCGGGGCGGUGCACGCGCCCGCGAACAGGCCAGCAUCGGUUCGGGCGGCCGGAUAAAGGCCUUGGGAACGUAGCUCCUCUCGGGGAGUGUUAUAGCCCUUGGCGCAAUGCGGCCAGCCUGGACCGAGGACCGCGCUUCGGCUAGGAUGCUGGCGUAAUGGUUGUAAGCGGCCCGUCUUGAAACACGGACCAAGGAGUCUAACAUCUAUGCGAGUGUUUGGGUGUCAAACCCAUACGCGUAAUGAAAGUGAACGGAGGUAGGAACCCUUAAGGGCGCACUAUCGACCGAUCCUGAUGUCUUCGGAUGGAUUUGAGUACGAGCAUAGCUGUUGGGACCCGAAAGAUGGUGAACUAUGCCUGAAUAGGGUGAAGCCAGAGGAAACUCUGGUGGAGGCUCGCAGCGGUUCUGACGUGCAAAUCGAUCGUCAAAUUUGGGUAUAGGGGCGAAAGACUAAUCGAACCAUC